rnacentral:rRNA from 1 species
AUUGAACGCUGGCGGCAGGCCUAACACAUGCAAGUCGAACGGUAACAGGAAGAAGCUUGCUUCUUUGCUGAUGAGUGGCGGACGGGUGAGUAAUGUCUGGGAAACUGCCUGAUGGAGGGGGAUAACUACUGGAAACGGUAGCUAAUACCGCAUAACGUCGCAAGACCAAAAAGGGGGACCUUCGGGCCUCUUGCCAUCGGAUGUGCCCAGAUGGGAUUAGCUAGUAGGUGGGGUAACGGCUCACCUAGGCGACGAUCCCUAGCUGGUCUGAGAGGAUGACCAGCCACACUGGAACUGAGACGCGGUCCAGACUCCUACGGGAGGCAGCAGUGGGGAAUAUUGCACAAUGGGCGCAAGCCUGAUGCAGCCAUGCCGCGUGUAUGAAGAAGGCCUUCGGGUUGUAAAGUACUUUCAGCGGGGAGGAAGGGAGUAAAGUUAAUACCUUUGCUCAUUGACGUUACCCGCAGAAGAAGCACCGGCUAACUCCGUG